UACGUAGGGUGCGAGCGUUAAUCGGAAUUACUGGGCGUAAAGCGUGCGCAGGCGGUUCGCUAAGACCGAUGUGAAAUCCCCGGGCUUAACCUGGGAACUGCAUUGGUGACUGGCGGGCUAGGGUGUGGCAGAGGGGGGUAGAAUUCCACGUGUAGCAGUGAAAUGCGUAGAGAUGUGGAGGAAUACCGAUGGCGAAGGCAGCCCCCUGGGCUAACACUGACGCUCAUGCACGAAAGCGUGGGGAGCAAACAGG
rnacentral:rRNA from 1 species